UUUUAGGGCACUCGGGGGUCGUUUUAGGGCACUCGGGGGUGGUUUUGGGCACUCAGGGGUGUGUUAGGGCAUUCGGGAUCGUUUUAGGGCACUUUGGGGUCGUUUUAGGGCACUGGGGGGUGUUUUUGGGCACUUUGGGGUCGUUUUAGGGCACUCGGGGGUGGUUUUGGGUCCUGGCAAAGCCACCCCCCGAGCCGUUGUCCUGUCCCCACGUCCCCGCAGCGCGUGCACUUGGUGCCGGAGCCCUGCACCCUGGACAUCGACGGCGUGAUCCUGGGCCUCACCUCCACCGACCUCAUCUUCCACAUGGGCGCCGAGGAGAUCAGCAGGUGGGAUCCCCAAUCCCGGGAACGCGGCGGGAGCGGGGAAAUCUCCGGAUUCAGCCCCAAAUCGGCCAGGAUCUUGUCAGGAAGCAUCAUCCCGGGGGGGCGGGGGCGGGUUGUCCCUCGGUUGUCCCCUCCGGUGCCUCGUUUCUCUGAUGGGGAGACAGAGCUGCCCCCAUCCCUCGGUGCCAGGUCGUUAAUUAGGCUGCCUGACUAAUUAAUCAGCGCGGCCUCCGAGCUCUUUUGGUUUUUGUUUGGUUUUUCCCUUUUCUUCCCUUUUCUUAACCGUUUCACAGCUCCUUUUCUCUCGCAGCUCCUCGGGGAUCUCGGACAGGUUCACGCGAAUCCUCAAGCACAUCCUGACGCAGAGGAGUUACUACCCGCUGUACCCCCCCUCGGAGGAGCUGAACGUCGACUACGAGAACUUCUACAGCUACGCCUCGUUGCCCGUCACCCCCGACGUCCUCGUCACCCCCUCGGAGCUGCGGUACUUCGUGAAGGUCAGGGUGUGCCAGGCGCCGCUUGGCAUCGGCGAAUCCCCCGCGCUGGGUCGGGCGGGGAAAGGGACCUUGCGAGGUCAUCGUCACCGGGGGCAGGGGACGUCUUCAAGGAGCCCCGUCCUGGGAUGUUUCCGUUCCACAGCUUCUCGGGGUCACCUGGGCCAGGCUCUCACCACCGAGUUCUUCCGAGUGUCUGGUCUAAAUCUUCCCUUUUUUACCUUAAAACCACUAUUUCUCAUCCUAUGGCUCCGCUCCCUGAUGAAGAGUCUUUCCUGGAGCCCCUUGAGGGACUGGAAGGGGCUCUAAGGUCUCCCUGGAGCCUUUUCUUCUCCAGGCUGAACCUCCCCAGCUCUCUCAGCCUCUCCCCACAGCAGAGGGGGGCUCCAGCCCUCGGGGCGUCUCGGU
rnacentral:lncRNA from 1 species